rnacentral:rRNA from 1 species
UACAGAGGGUGCGAGCGUUGUUCGGAAUCAUUGGGCGUAAAGGGCGUGUAGGCGGUUUGUUAAGUCAUGUGUGAAAUCCCUCGGCUCAACCGGGGAAGGACGCAUGAAACUGGCAAGCUAGAGUACCAAAGAGGGGGGUGGAAUUCCCGGUGUAGCGGUGAAAUGCGCAGAUAUCAGGAGGAACACCAAUGGCGAAGGCAGCUCACUGGGACGGUAUUGACGCUGAGACGCGAAAGCGUGGGGAGCAAACAGG